GUCUCAGAGGAAGCCAGACCAGUGUCAAGUACUGCGCACAUGUCACCAAAAGAUAAUUUGGUACAGCCCAAAGAGCAUACUGAGUCAUGAACAUAUAAACAGGAAUGGAAAAUGCUGCAGUAUUCCUAUAUGCUAUGACAUAUUAUCAAGACCAAGCAGAAAUUUGUAUGCUUCCC